UGAUAGGAAUGAACAAAAUGAAUAAUAUCAAUGACGUUAAGAAUGCCCAACAAUGGUAGACAAUAUGUAGACGUGGUGUCUAGAUAUCUUGUUUAUCUGCGAGGGAACCCUGACGUGCCAGGUCAUGUGGUAGUCUGCGCAGGUGACAGCUGCAUUGGUUCCUCUGUAGUCCACCCCCCAUACGUAGGAUAGCUUGGGCGCGGUCGCGAAGGAGGUGACGGUUGCGUCUUAAAACCCUCAUUAGUUGAUGCCUCUUUGCAUGUGAUUAUGAUAUAGGGUUGACUUAACAAUGAUUUCUAGAUGUAAUUGCACUAAUUAGAGUUAUUUAUUGACGUAGUUAUAGAAUUACCAUACUAUUUAUUCCUAAGUUUAUCCAUUGGCUAGCUAUUACUUUGACUAGAAGAGCUCUGAUAUAUUUAUCUAUUUAUGAUGACUGAUCAUUAUUUAUCUUAUAUAUUUUAUCAAGUGACUUAGUAAAGAAACUAUAUUCACAAAGAUUUCUUUUAAAAAGUUAUAUAAAAUGCUUAGGUUCUACUGCUGAUUUACUACUCUCUCAGUCUCACUGGGGUGUUAUUUUUUAUUUUCAAUUUUUUUCUUUGACUGUUUAUCUUAUUUAUUUUUUUAUAUAAAUAGUAAAAUAAAUAAAUUAUUGUUAAAAUAUUUUUAUUGAUAAAAUAAGUCAUAAUUUGAUAAGUGAAGUUACAAAUUGUUAUGGCAAGUUACUUCAUUCACGAAAAAAUGCAAUUCUCUUUUUUAGAAAUCAAACAAUUUAAAAUUUUUAUAACAUUUGUAUAAAAGAUAUAAGUAUUAUUAGAUUAAUUAUAGAUAUAUUUUUAUACUAUAAAUUUACUUGAGACAAAAAUGCUAAUAACUUGGUU
rnacentral:lncRNA from 1 species